rnacentral:piRNA from 1 species
UGACAAAUGUGCCUCAGGUUGUAAACUA